rnacentral:lncRNA from 1 species
AUGCAUUACAGUAUUAUUAACUAAAGUCACCAUGCUGUACAUUACAUCCCCAGGACUUAUUUAUUUUGUAACUGGAACUUUGUAACUUUUGAUGACCUUCACCUAUUCCCCCUGAAUUUGUAGUCCGCUUGACAGAAGUGUGGGCAGCCUGGGAACCCAUUGCCACUGGUGUCUGAAGCGGGAGCAGUCCUGUAGGACGGAGCCCUUAACCUGUGGGGUCUGAUGCUAACUCCAGGGUCAAUAAAGGACUUGGAAAUCCCAGUUCAAUUCCACAGGCAAUGUAGACAUCCAAGCACUCAAAAGGAAAGAAUGCCAAGAAAGAGGUAACUGUUCAGAGGAGGCCCUGGCAGGAGAUUGGAAGGUGGGAAGAAGAGAGAGGACAUUUUCUUUCCUUUUGGCUUCAGACAGCACUUUCUGGCAGCAGUAGCAGAAUAUCAGACGACGUUAAGUGGAGCCAUAUCAAAAUAAAGCUGAAGCAGCCAUUUCAGAGGAAUUGCCUUGUACAUCCUGUUUCCUUUAUCUUCUAAAUUGGACCAAACCACCAACAUUCCAAGAAGUCAGUGAGGACAAGAAUAUCCUGUUUGUAAGGACUGAUGAAAUUGGACUUUGCUGAUGACCGAAUCGCUAACUAAUCAAUGAAGUACAAGUCUAACCUUUCCCUGAUGACGGAUUCUCAAGCCAAUCUUUGAAGUGCAAAACCUAGCCUUACCACCUCUAGUACCAAUGAUCUCUUUCUUUAAUUUAACUUACCUUAUCCUCCCUUUUUCCCAUAAAAAUCCUGAGCCCCCCUCCUGUAGUCGGGACACUAUCUGGGUUUCUACAUGAAUCUGUGCUCCCCCAAUUGCAAUUCUUUGAUUGUA